ensembl:lncRNA
CUUUAAACACCCACACACCUUUUGCUCUACUUGCACUCUGUGCGUGGUUUCAAGGAAAUAAGAUCUUUUGCUUGAAGACUUCAUCUGCUCCUGCUUGCCACAGCUCAGAAGCCAAUAAUCCUCUCCGUGAUAUCAGGCAUGCUUGCCUGAUACCAUGCCAAGGACAGCGCAUGAGAUUCUUGGGCAUGUGGAAUAGGAACAACAGAUGAGAAACCGCAACAGAUGCAAGGAGCAGUUCUGUGUGUUGAUCACCCUUGUUGCCCUGUUCUGAAGCUUUUCCAGCCAACCUACACCUCUAGAGAAAGAAAGAUCAGAACUGCAGGCAGUAUUCCAGCAAUGAGCAAGUCGUGGACUUACAUGUUGGCACGAUGGUGUCCAGUUUUCUCUCUCUUACUUUGUUGACAAUUGUUAAUAAUUGGUCUGCUUCUUAAGCUGUGUACUGAUAGCAAGCAUGAAUAGUUCUCAUCAAGCUAUCUAUCAUAACCCACAGCUUUUGUUGCUGAGGGAAGCAAUCAGCCCAUCUUUUAUAUGUGAAAUUAGAAUUGUUUUUCCCCUAACCUUCAUAUUUAUCUACAUCAAAUUUCAUCUGCUGUUUUAUUGCCCACUCAAUCUAGUAAGCUCGUUCUCCAGCUCUGCACCAUCAUCUUUACUAUCCAGAAUAAAUGACAGCUAAUAUUGUGUCAGCAGCAAACCUCACAGGACAGAUUUUCUUGCAGUAUUCCUCUUACAAUCUCUCUG